UGUGUGUGUGUGUGUGUGUGUGUGUACCUCAAUAACAUUCUUGCCAGGAUGGUUGGCAGCGAUGAGUUUAUCUCCAUCAUCAUUCAGCUUGGUGACAGUGGCCUCCUUGGACUCCAGACACUUACUGAUGAAGUUCUGGUGGGAGAUUUAAAAGAGAUACAAGUCUCUCUUCACGUUCCAACACACGUAACGUGUAGGAUCAGGUGUCAGAUAACGUGUAGGAUCAGGUGUCAGAUAACGUGUAGGAUCAGGUGUCAGAUAACGUGUAGGAUCAGGUGUCAGAUAACAUGUAGGAUCAGGUGUCAGAUAACAUGUAGGAUCAGGUGUCACGUAACGUGUAGGAUCAGGUGUCAGAUAACAUGUAGGAUCAGGUGUCACGUAUCGUGUAGGAUCAGGUGUCAGAUAACGUGUAGGAUCAGGUGUCAGAUAACAUGUAGGAUCAGGUGUCAGAUAACAUGUAGGAUCAGGUGUCAGAUAACGUGUAGGAUCAGGUGUCACGUAACGUGUAGGAUCAGGUGUCAGAUAACAUGUAGGAUCA
ensembl:lncRNA